AAGGAACAUUUGCAGAUGUACUAGUGGAGGCCUGAGAAAAGGUUGUGUUUUGGAGCUUUGCCUCUGUUGCUGCACUUGCAACCCCAAAAUCACAACAUGACUAGAGGAAAACUGAGAUGCCCUGGCCAACUAUCAGCUGUGAGUGAAGCCAUCCUCAACCAUCCAGCCCCAGCCAAGCUUCCAGAAGAAGCCAAGCCCCAGCCCAAACUGCCAAUACACAGAACCAUCAGACUCAGCUGCAGUAGGAGAAAGCUGGGGCAGAGGCAAACUUAA
rnacentral:lncRNA from 1 species